UCGUGGAUUGAUUUGUCAGGUUGAUUCCGGUAACGGACGAGACCCCAACCUACUAACUAGCUCUGGUUGAUUUCCAGCCUGCCAGCUUCUUAGAGGGACUCUCGGAAUUUAACCGAAGGAGGUGGGGCAAUAACA
rnacentral:rRNA from 1 species